GCCAGGCAAAAAAACCAACACAGCUCCAGGAACAUUAAGGGUUUCAAUGUACUUAAGUAGAGCCUCGAUGAGUUCAAAAGGAGUUUCCUUUUCGUUCAAUUGAGACAUGCUCAACCUUGUUUCUGGACCAUAUUCAUCACCACAGAUCAAGUUGCAAUUUGCAUCAUCAUCCUCACCACCAUCAUCAUCCUUAUCCUUCUUCUUUUUGUCUUUUGGUGGAGGAACAAAGUGGGUCAUCUGAAUGCAGUCUUCCAGAAAAUAUUCUUGAACUGGGUAAGUCCUCCCAUAAACUUCAAUGAUG
rnacentral:lncRNA from 1 species